GAUGAACGCUGGCGGCGUGCCUAAUACAUGCAAGUCGAGCGAACAGACGAGGAGCUUGCUCCUCUGACGUUAGCGGCGGACGGGUGAGUAACACGUGGAUAACCUACCUAUAAGACUGGGAUAACUUCGGGAAACCGGAGCUAAUACCGGAUAAUAUAUUGAACCGCAUGGUUCAAUAGUGAAAGACGGUUUUGCUGUCACUUAUAGAUGGAUCCGCGCCGCAUUAGCUAGUUGGUAAGGUAACGGCUUACCAAGGCAACGAUGCGUAGCCGACCUGAGAGGGUGAUCGGCCACACUGGAACUGAGACACGGUCCAGACUCCUACGGGAGGCAGCAGUAGGGAAUCUUCCGCAAUGGGCGAAAGCCUGACGGAGCAACGCCGCGUGAGUGAUGAAGGUCUUCGGAUCGUAAAACUCUGUUAUUAGGGAAGAACAUAUGUGUAAGUAACUGCGCACAUCUUGACGGUACCUAAUCAGAAAGCCACGGCUAACUACGUG
rnacentral:rRNA from 1 species